AGCUCCAAUAGCGUAUAUUAAAGUUGUUGCGGUUAAAAAGCUCGUAGUUGGGUUUGUGUCGCGGACGGCCGGCGCGGCUCGCACCGGGCGCGCGCCGUCGUUUUUUCCGCACGUCCUGCCGCAGCGUCCCUCGGUUGCUCUUCGUUGAGUGUCUUGGGUUGCCCGGCACGUUUACUUUGACCAAACCAAAGUGCUCAAAGCAGGCUCACCCCCACGCCUGAAUAACGGUGCAUGGAAUAAUGGAAGAGGAUCUCGGUUCUAUUUUGUUGGUUUUCUGAAUCCGAGAUAAUGAUUAAAAGGUACGGACGGGGGCAUCCGUAUUGCGACGUUAGAGGUGAAAUUCUUGGAUCGUAGCAGGACGAACGAGAGCGAAAGCAUUUGCCAAGAACGCUUUCA
rnacentral:rRNA from 1 species